rnacentral:rRNA from 1 species
GACGAACCGUGCGAACGUUAUUCGGAAUCACUGGGCUUAAAGCGCGUGUAGGCGGGAGGGCACGUCCGUCGCUGAAAUCCCCCGGCUCAACCGGGAACGGGCGCGGAUACGACCUUCCUGGAGGGGCGUAGGGGGACCUGGAACUUCCGGUGGAGCGGUGAAAUGCGUUGAGAUCGGAAGGAACGCCCGUGGCGAAAGCGGCUCACUGGACCAUAACUGACGCUGAUGCACGAAAGCUAGGGGAGCAAACAGG